GUGUGUUUGGUAAUAUUGGAAAAAUUGGAACGAUAUAUAGAGAAGAUUAUCAUGGCCCCUACGCAGGUAUGACACAAAAAUCAUGAAGCGUUUUGAACUUUUUU